GGGAGGCUUUAAACCACGGCUUUAUUUUUAGAUCCAGUAAUUUUAUCUUUUGGGUUUCGGAGGGGUUUGGAAAGAAAGAGAGAGAGGGAAAAAAAAAAAAAAAAGCCUUUUUUUUUCUUUUAAUUCUUUUUCUCCACUUUCGCCACACGAACGGCUCUCAGAGCAGAAAGUUACGGGGAAAAAAAAUAGCGAAAACUUGGAGAUAUUUUCCCUCCUCAUUUACUUUUUCUUCGCAAACAGCGGUGCUUUUGGGGGGGACCUUUUCCUCCUUUUUUUUUUUUUUUUUUUCCUUGCUGGUGUAUCGCCGCGCGUUUCGCCUCCACAAUAGGUUUAUUCUCCAGCCCUCCGGGUCGAAGUGUGUUUCAGUUACAAAUCGGGAUUUUUUCGCUCCUCUCUCCCCUCUCUGCCUCAGAGGAUCUGCAGUUUCAAAAAGCCGAUUGAACACGGCGUGAAAGCGUGAGGCUGACGACUCCCCCGCCUCCUACCGCCACUCUCUCUAGGUACUUCAUUUUAGAAUAUACUUUUUUUCUCGCGGCAAAAAAAGAGAGAAAAAAGAUUUUCCCUCCGCCAAACGUUCUAAAAUCUUUUUCAAUAUAUCCCUGUAUCUUUACUGUUUGAAUUUUUUCCCGUUCUCACACUCUCACGGGAGCGCAGUCCUCGUUCCGUGCCCCGCAAGGAGGAGCCCCCCGCGGAACCCCUGGCGCAUCGCAUCCCCGCUUUCCCCCCCUCAUGUCCCCAGCACCUCGCACCCCUCGUGGAUGUCACCAGCAUCGCAGUUUCAAGGCUGGGGAUGGUGCUCCCAGCUCAGCCGGGCGCUUUCAUUCAUAAAAUGGCAAGACCUUUGAGAGGGGAAUGAGCUCUUCUGCACAUCCAGAUGUCUGCUGUUGUUUGUCCGGUCUCUUCCCACUGGGGGGCACAGGACUCCAUUCUCCAGCAGAUCUGUUCCAGGCAUCUCUUUAUGUCAAGGCAAAGGUUCAGUGAAACAUCAUGACUUACAUCAGCCAAAGCCUUUGAUCAGGGAGGGAAAGGUCUGACAUGGAUGGGGUUGGCAGCCACGCUGCAAGAAUCCCUCAUUGUGCAAGAAGCCAGUCCAAUGACCGACUGUCACCAAGGGUGAGACAGCCUUUUCUGCUCUGUUUGCUCUGUUUUCACUUGGCUAUUGCUGGCGUUUUGUUUGCAAAAUCAAGGCCAAAAUAUACAAGAAGCAGCUUCGAACAUGUUGGGUUUGUGCAUUAAGCCAGAUAGCCAUCAUGAAUUUCUGGCCAUUUUUGUUGUAUGUGUUGUAAAGAGCAGAAUUUUGCUGUCAGCAUUUUGUUUUCACAUGGUCAGAGAGGAGAAGGAGUAUAAUAGAGGUCCAAUUGACACUGUUUACACAAAGAUGAAGUCGUAACUCUUGGCUGAGAUGACUGUGGAAGUGGUGUGUGAUGGCUUCUUUGUUGGCUCUUUAAGAAAACAUCUGCUCUGGAUCUCGUGGACAAAAUCUAGGGUGAAAAAUUCUCUCAUUGCAAAAUGAGAAGCCGGAUGAAAAGCCCAGAGAAGCUGUGGGUGCUCCAUCUCUGGAGGUGCUCAAGGCCAGGUUGGAUGGGGCCCUGGGCUGCCUGAUCUGGAAGGUGGUAAUCCUGCCCAUGGCCCCGGGUUGGGGCUGGAUGACCUUUGAGGAUGUUUCCAGCCUAGGCCGUUCUAUGAUUCUAUGAGUUUCUCCAAUAGCAUCCAGCACUCAAGGAACAGGGCUGCUUUGGAAAUGUAUGUCAGAAUAAGAAAAAUACAUUUUUUGUACUCACACAUUGAACAGCGAAUGAAUGCUCAAGAAGAAUGAGGGUGAGAAUUGAAUCCAUUAAAACACUUUCUGGGACAAUAUUUUUGCUUUCAGCAGCUUUCUCUUCUGCUUUGCUUCAAUUCCUUCUAAACUCUGCUCCCCUUCCUCCAGGUGGUAUGAAAUAAAAAACAGUAAUAAAUAGAUUUUUCUAUAU
rnacentral:lncRNA from 1 species